CCCGCCCCGAAACCGGCGACGGGGCGGGGCGUGAGUAAGCCCCGCCCCACCGCGUAGACCGCUUCCUUCUGCAAGCAACCAGGAGCAUGGAAUCUUUUUCUGAUACUAGGGAUUCUUAAUUGGGCACUCAAGGACUAGUGGCAGAGGGGGGAAAAACGAAUCUUGGAAUACAAAGUUUUGAAUCAUGCAAAGUUUACAGAAGGCAUCCUUCCUGGAAAAUGUGACUUUCCUGGACCUCCCCAGCUAUACUGGCAUAAAUACAGCACCUGGAGUCUGCUCUUGGAAAGAGAAUGCUAUGAGCUGAAUUG